rnacentral:rRNA from 1 species
AGAUUGAACGCUAGCGGGAUGCUUUACACAUGCAAGUCGAACGGCAGCGCGGACUUCGGUCUGGCGGCGAGUGGCGAACGGGUGAGUAAUAUAUCGGAACGUGCCCAGUAGCGGGGGAUAACUACGCGAAAGCGUGGCUAAUACCGCAUACGCCCUACGGGGGAAAGGGGGGAUCGCAAGACCUCUCACUAUUGGAGCGGCCGAUAUCAGAUUAGCUAGUUGGUGAGGUAAAGGCUCACCAAGGCGACGAUCUGUAGCUGGUUUGAGAGGACGACCAGCCACACUGGGACUGAGACACGGCCCAGACUCCUACGGGAGGCAGCAGUGGGGAAUUUUGGACAAGUGGGGGAAACCUGAUCCAGCCAUCCCGCGUGUGCGAUGAAGGCC